rnacentral:rRNA from 1 species
UACGGGGGGGGUAAGCGUUGUUCGGAAUUACUGGGCGUAAAGGGCUCGUAGGCGGCCAACUAAGUCAGACGUGAAAUCCCUCAGCUUAACUGGGGAACUGCGUCUGAUACUGGAUGGCUUGGAUCCGGGAGAGGGAUGCGGAAUUCCAGGUGUAGCGGUGAAAUGCGUAGAUAUCUGGAGGAACACCGGUGGCGAAAGCGGCUCUCUGGAACGGUACUGACGCUGAGACGCGAAAGCGUGGGGAGCGAACGAGG